CCAUGGUGUAUACCACUCACUGACUGGCCUGACUGAAGAGGAGGGUCCUAGCACCCCGUGUUACACAAAAGCUCAAUUCAUUCUAGAAAGUUGGUUUUCUUUUCAAGUGAAGUUAUUUUCUCUCUUAAUUCCUACAGGACUGGAAGAGAAGGUCAAAAUCCGUGUUAACUUCAGAGACAAUCUGCGGUUUUGCUGCUCCAAGAGAAGCCAUUUAAGGAGGUUUGAGCUCCUAAUGAGUACCUCCCCGGGGAGUUCCCUGAACACUGUCCACCGUGAGCAGGCCUAGGGGAAGACACCCAAAUCAUGCUAGCUGGCCUGGGAAUUCCCCUAAAGGACGUGGACACUGUUUCUAGGAUUAAGGAAGUCUGGUCUGACCUGCACAGCCUGUUACCAACACAGCCCUGACCAGGUGGAGUGAAAGAUCACAGAGGUCCAAAGCCUGUCCAUGGUAUUACUGGGCAGAACGCAGGAUCCAGCCCUAUAUGAAGUACCAAUCCAUCACUGGGCACACAGUUAUGUCGGAUUGAGCACAGGUUCCCAAGGCUAUGCGGCAGCAAUAAUAAUUUGUUCAUCUUGACCUUAAAAUCUCACAUCAUAGACUUGACAUAUGAAGAAUCACCGAAGGGGCUGAGCAAUUUCAGUUUAAGCGAAUAAACAUUAUGAGAAGAACUCAAAAAGCAAAAACCAGGAUCCACAUAUCUAUGGGAAGUGAGAAAAAAAACCGGACUUCCUGAGCAUACAAAUAAGCACAGAGAAAAACAGACAAACCACAACAGAAGACACCCAUGGGAAGACAUGAAGGGAGGACCGACGUGAGAACACCACCUGCUGCACUGCUACGCCACUCCACAGCAUAUUGUCUCCAGAAGACAAAGCUUUGCUGUUAAAGAAAGGAACCAACUCUGGAUGACGGGCCCACCCACCACAUGCACGAUCACUUAGCCUGACAGAUGGCGACUGAGCAGUGGGAGUGUCAUGGUUCCUGACAGAGACACACGUGUACAACCAAGAAAGGAAGGUUGGAGGCCUUUUAUCUGGUGAUGCUCAUUUGCUUCAAUCUAACGGUGGGAGGGGGGGGCAAAACAAUUAUACGCUAGCACUGCUAAAGCAGCAGCAAGAAAAAAAAAAAAACAAGCAACCAUCACUACUUCCCUACUGGCCUUACAAAACAGGAAAAAUACAGAAAACGGAAAGUGAAUUUCAACACCCAUCCUACUUAACCUCCUUAUCGAGGGAAGGGUUACAGGGCAGUUGAAGCCUAUCCCAGUAGCCACCAUUAGAACAAUCGAGACAAGAACAGGCCAUUCAGCCCAACAAAGCUCGCCAAUCCUCUCCACUUUAAUUCUUCUAAACUAACAUCAAGAUGAUUGUUGAAAGUCCCUGAAGUCUUAUUGUCUACCAAACUACUUGGUCGCUUAUUCCAAGUGUCUAUCGUUCUUUGUG